GAUGAACCGUGCGAACGUUGUUCGGAAUCACUGGGCUUAAAGGGCGCGUAGGCGGGCUGUCAAGUCUGGGGUGAAAUGCCGCGGCUCAACCGUGGAACUGCCUCAGAUACUGACGGCCUCGAGGGAGGUAGGGGCGUGCGGAACUGUAGGUGGAGCGGUGAAAUGCGUUGAUAUCUACAGGAACUCCGGUGGCGAAAGCGGCGCGCUGGACCUCUUCUGACGCUGAGGCGCGAAAGCUAGGGGAGCAAACGGG
rnacentral:rRNA from 1 species